CCCGCAUAGAAAAUAACAAUUUGCCUUAAAUCCCAAACAAUAAACCUCUUCUAACUGGUGUGGUUGAUAUUCCACAAAUGGUUAUCUUAAUUUUAAACAAUAUUCAACCCCAAGCAAUAAACAAUAAAAAAUGGUGCAAAUCAUCUAUACCAAAAAGUAACAAUAUAUCACAAUGUUCAAACAUUGUAUAACAGCACUGAAACAGAAUUUCGUUCAAAAUAGUGCCAACAUAAGUUCACCCUUUGCCAAAUGGUUGAGUUUUACAUUUGCGGAGCACACUCAUACGUGUGCAAUUAACAAUACAUAACUUAUCUCUAACAGUUUGCCAUGCAGUUGUUCGCCUUUAUAUUUGUGAGCAACGCAUAUUGACAAUUUUCUUUGCUUUCCUGCAUGAUGUCGACUUGUUUUGUUUCAUCACGGCAGUUAAAAGAAGAUUUUUGCAAGCAAUUUCUGUUGAAUGCAGAGGCCGAGUGGUGGAGGAACUGGUCAGAAGCAGUUCGGUCGAGAAUUCGGAAGAAGUGACAUCGGAAGUGGAAGAAGGUGGUGCUACCUGAGGAGGUACGGCGCAGGUUCAGCCGAUGGAGGAAAUUAAUAAUGCGGUUGUCGUAGCGGAGGAACGGGUACGUUUGAGUAAGGUGACGAAAAGAAAAGGAAGCACGAAGAUGACGGCAAUGCGGAGAAUCCAUAAGGUCAGAAAUAAGAAGAUAUACGAAUAAGGCCCAUACUGAGGCCGAUCCGGAACGCCCAGCCAGAUCUGAACGAAAACUUCAUGCGACUGUGAGGCCGAGUGUGAGGCAAUACCCUGUACAGCGGGUCGAUAUGGCUAACUCUAGAGACAAAAAAUAAACUUCAGUCAUCCCGAAAAUAUACGUAUAACUAAAAUUA